CAAGAUUCAAGUCAAAACGACGGUCAGAGGGUCCAGACAUUUUCAAAGUGUUGAAGAAGUACAAGAAGGGAGUCUCUACAAGCAAAAAAUUCAAAUGUGCUUUGAAACGAACUGCAUGCCUCUAUAAAAAAUCAGCACUCGACGGGAUUUCAGAGAUCGAAAAGGCGAGCUCAGAAUUCAAAGAGGCCAAUUCAAAAAUCGAAGAGGCAAGCUCAGAAAUCGAAGAGGCAUCUUGCUUUUCCAGACGCGUCAGCACCCGUCACACGCAAACUCAGCUUUGCGGAAAUCACGGGCAAUUUGUCGAAGCGCCGAUCCUAGAUAUCGAAGAGGCGCCAGUCUUUUUUCACCAAGAUUCAAGUCAAAACGACGGUCAGAGGGUCCAGACAUUUUCAAAGUGUUGAAGAAGUACAAGAAGGGAUUCUCUACAAGCAAAAAAUUCAAAUGUGCUUUGAAACGAACUGCAUGCCUCUAUAAAAAAUCAGCACUCGACGGGAUUUCAGAGAUCGAAAAGGCGAGCUCAGAAUUCAAAGAGGCCAAUUCAAAAAUCGAAGAGGCAAGCUCAGAAAUCGAAGAGGCAUCUUGCUUUUCCAGACGCGUCAGCACCCGUCACACGCAAACUCAGCUUUGCGGAAAUCACGGACAAUUUGUCGAAGAUUUUUGAUAAAGAAGAAAGCACGUGAAGCCAUACUGAUCAAUCACUCAACGGUUGCCGACACGAGUGAAAGAAUAGUACCUCUACAGGGAUUAAAAGACUUCCUAUAACUGUCCACCUUCACCCUCCAUAGCAAGGCAGACAUACAGAACCUUUCUUCAUCUCAAAAAAAUGCUUUCCCAAUGAAGCCUCUCGAGUCACUCAGUGUUCCUUAUUCCUUGAGGUACCUCUGCAAGCAAAUGACUCCAAAGCAAAAGUAUCUCAUAUCACCAGGGUAGAAAGCAAGAGUAUCUCAUAUCAUGCUUUUUCCCUGUUCUUUCCUUUGUCCUUGUUCUUACCUACAAAGACAAGGAUAAAGAAAACAAUAUGCCGGAACCUCCACUCAAACUCGAGUAAGGAACCGACUGCUUGAAACCCUUCCCUAAUUGCCUACCUAGCACUACUCUCGAGUACUCGUCUCCCACUGCUGCUGUACUUCCAAAGAAGCUGCCACAUCUGCCUGAAGAACAGAUAAGGCAAGUGAAAAUGAUACCUUGCAGCACGUGGAGACAACGUGUAGAAGAAACAAGCAGAGAAGAAUGCAGCCUGCAGAGUCAACUCAGCAGAAGGAGUCUGAGAUGAGGAACUCGAGAAGAUGCCACAUCUGCCUGAGGAACAGAUAAAGGAAAUGAAAAUGAUACCUUGAAGCAUGUGGAGACAAGUGCAACAAAGCACGUUCUGAUUCAUCCGCUACUUCUUCAAAAUCAAAAGUAUCUCAUAUCAUCAGGGUUGCAAUCACUCUGGGUAGUGGACUCAUUUUGACCCUCAAAUUCUUGGGUCGACUCGCUAGGCGUUGUGGGCUGCACAUGCCGAUUCACCACCCUUGAAUCAAAUCCUUAAAGAUCAAGUCACCAACUGGAAGAAGAGCCCA
rnacentral:lncRNA from 1 species